CUUGCUGCCAUCAUGUAAGAAGAGCCUUUCACCUCCCGCCGUGAUUCUGAGGCUUCCCCAGCCACGUGGAACUGUUCCACUUCCCACAACACCUCUGCCACCAACCAAUUGAGGGUCUUCAGGAGAAGUGUUCUUAUCUGUGCAAUAGAGCCUGCCAGAAGGGGCACCUGGCAACCCUCUUCAGAGGCUUGAUCCUGUGCUGCAGAAACCUAUGGACCUGCUCAACCUGUGCACUGGAAUUCCAGGGAUAGACUGAGCUGUCCCUAGGAGGCUGGGAGCAUUCUCCAGCAGAGACCAGCAACUGCCUCCUGCCUGGAGAAUCUGGAAGGAGGAAGGGCGGCUGGAAUCACCUGUGAUGACUCCAGUGUGUCAGAGAAGACAGGAAGACCAAGAAACAGCCAAGGAGAGGGGCUGAGGAAUGAGAGAUGGAGGAGACAACAGAUUGUCCUUCCCAUUGCCAAACCUUAGGCCGGGCCUGAGGGGAUCAGACUGGGCAAUUGAAUCCUCAAAGGUUCCUGGAAGGACUCAGACUUGUGUACACAUGGAGAAUAGCGUCUGGCGCCAAGAACGCAGAGCGGCUGAGAACUGGUGUUUCUCCUCUUAGGAAAGAAAAUGACAGGGAAAGGAAGAAAAAUAGGAAAGAAGAAAGGAAGAGAGAGAAGAAGGAAAAAAAGAGGGAGGGAGGGAAGGAAAGGGUAGGGAAGGAAGGAAAGAGGAAAAGAAGGAGGAAGAGGAAGAGAUGGAGAGAAGAAAGAAAGGAAGGAAAAGGGAGGGAAGAAAAGGAAAAGAGGGAGGAAGGGAGAAAUGGAAGAAGGGAAAGAAGGAAAAGAAGGAGGAAGAGGAAGAGAUGGAGAGAAGAAAGGAAGGAAGGAAAAGGGAGAGAAGAAAAAGAAAAGAGGGAGGAAGGGAGAAAAGGAAGAAGGGAAAGAAGGAAAAAAGGAAGAAGAGAGGAAUGGAAGGAAGAAGGGAAGGGAAAGAGGGAGACAGGUAAAGAGGGAGGGAGGGAAAUAAGGAAGAGGGAGAAAGAGGGAGAAAGGGGGGAGGAGCAAAGGACGGAAGAAGGAAGGAAAGAAGAAGGGAGGGAAGGGAAAAUAGAGGAAAUGAAGGACGGCACAGGGAAGGGGAAAAAGGACGAAGAGGAGGAAAAGAGGGAGGGAAGAAGGAAGAAGAAAAGGAAAGAGAAAAGAAGGAGGGAGGGAGGGAAGGAAGACAGGAAGGAAAACCAAACGUCGAGGUAGCACUGUGUGUUUGGAUUUCUUGCUUUACUGAAGUAUUACCUUCAUCAGAAGCAGAUGGACUGAAUCACGUCAAAGUCUACCUAGGCAGGAAGCAUUGUUUUAAUUUACCCAGGUCACGGCAAACAUAUUGUCAUUCAGCAUGUGAAACUGUUUGAACUUACAAGGAGUAACCCAGCAACAGCAAUUACCCCACGUGUCCGUUGUGCUCUGAUGAUACAAACGCAACUGGAAUGGAGUCUCAUAAUUUCACAAGGUGACAAAACAUUGAAUUCUGAUGUUUCACCUCCACCUGCGAAUGAGCAGGGAGGUGCUGAGAGGCCAGCUGAAUACACAAAUUCCUUGGGCCCAUGGGCACUGUACAGAGGCCGGCUGCACUGGGGCAAGCUUGCCCUCCUCUCAACCUCAGGCCGGCAGCCAAUGCAGAGCAGCCCCACCGCGGGCUUUUGUCUGCUGAGAGCACACCCCCUGCAUUUCUUAUCAGAUUUACUGUGACAAGGACCCGGAGAAAAGCAAGAUGCUGGUAAGAGCUCAUCAAUUCAGACCCCACUAUUCAGAAAUUUGGAUUUAUUUUUUUGUCACGGAGAACUAGAACUGAUGUGAAUCUUGGCACUAUCCUUGAAAAAAAAUCAUUCAUAAUAACACAACAAUAAUAUAUAACAUUUACUGAGUUCUGACUCUGAACGAGGUACUGUCUGGAGUGCUCUUCGUGGAUGUCUCAUUUAAUCUUCAAAGCAACACUGUGAGGAAGGUCCUAUUAUUCUCUCCAUUUUGCAGGCGAUUACUUUGAGGCACAGAGAGGUCAAGGCCUGCCCAAGGUCACACAGCUAAUGAAUGGGAGAGCCUGGAUUCAGAACCCCAGCAGUCUGAUUGAUGCCAGAGCCAUAUUCUCAAUCACACUUUAAAAGGCAACUCCCAGCUAGGUCAAGAAUUCAGAUUGUUUCUAUGGACCUGAAAAUCAUUUUAACAGUACCCAUUUCUGUUGUUAAAAAAAAAAAAAAAAAGACAAGACAGUGACCCAAUCGAUGAUUCUUAUCCAUUCAUUAAGUCAAAGUUGCUCCUUGACCAUCCUGUUAGCCCUUAUUUCAUGCAUGUGAAAUGAAUAAAACUUCAUUUUGUUCAAAAAGACCCUUGGAUUCAGACUUUCUAUGCUUUUAGGUGGGCUUUCUUAUUAUUAUUCAAAGUCACUGAGGUUUUUCUCAAAGACUUCGGAGACUAAACUAAUCACAGCUGCCUUUGAG
rnacentral:lncRNA from 1 species